rnacentral:rRNA from 1 species
UAAGAAAUUUCGGGAUACCCCGGGAACUGGGGAUAAUACCGGAUAGAUCAUCUCGGCUGGAAGGCGGGGUGGUUGAAACUUCCGGGGCUUUUGGAUGGGUCUGCGGCUGAUUAGGUUGUUGCCGGUGUAACGUACCGUCAAGCCUGUAAUCAGUACGGGUUGUGGGAGCAAGAGCCCGGAGAUGGAUUCUGAGACACGAAUCCAGGCCCUACGGGGCGCAGCAGGCGCGAAAACUCUACAAUGCAGGCAACUGCGAUAGGGGAACAUCGAGUGGCAUCCAUAUUGGGUGUCUGUCCACCCGCCUAAAAAGCGGGUGUUAGCAAGGGCCGGGCAAGACCGGUGCCAGCCGCCGCGGUAAUACCGGCGGCUCGAGUGGUGGCCGAUAUUAUUGAGUCUAAAGGGUCCGUAGCCGGCUUUGCAAGUCUCUCGGGAAAUCCAGCGGCUUAACCGUUGGUCGUCCGGGGGGUACUACAUUGCUUGGGACUGGGAGAGGUAGGAGGUACUCAGGGGGUAGGAGUGAAAUCCUGUAAUCCUUUGGGGACCACCGGUGGCGAAGGCGUCCUACCAGAACAGGUCCGACGGUGAGGGACGAAAGCUAGGGGCACGAACCGGAUUAGAUACCCGGGUAGUCCUAGCCGUAAACGAUGCUCGCUAGGUGUCACAACAGUCGUGAACUGUUGUGGUGCCGUAGGGAAGCCGUGAAGCGAGCCACUUGGGAAGUACGACCGCAAGGUUGAAACUUAAAGGAAUUGGCGGGGGAGCAC